rnacentral:tRNA from 1 species
GGGCCUGUAGCGCAGUUGGUUAGCGCGUCUGCAUGGCAUGCAGAAGGUCAGGGGUUCGAAUCCCCUCAGGUCCA